GCUUAACACAUGCAAGUCGAGCGGAAAGGCUCCUUCGGGGGUACUCGAGCGGCGAACGGGUGAGUAACACGUGAGUAAUCUGCCCUUGGCUUUGGGAUAAGCCCCGGAAACGGGGUCUAAUACCGGAUACGACGCACUCUCGCAUGGGAUGUGUGUGGAAAGUUUUUUCGGCCAGGGAUGUGCUCGCGGCCUAUCAGCUUGUUGGUGGGGUAAUGGCCUACCAAGGCUUCGACGGGUAGCCGGCCUGAGAGGGUGACCGGCCACACUGGGACUGAGACACGGCCCAGACUCCUACGGGAGGCAGCAGUGGGGAAUAUUGGACAAUGGGCGGAAGCCUGAUCCAGCAACGCCGCGUGAGGGAUGACGGCCUUCGGGUUGUAAACCUCUUUCAGUACCGACGAAGCGCCGAUGAUGGUGGUGACGGUAGGUACAGAAGAAGCACCGGCCAACUACGUG
rnacentral:rRNA from 1 species